UACGAAGGGGGCUAGCGUUGCUCGGAAUCACUGGGCGUAAAGGGUGCGUAGGCGGGUUUCUAAGUCAGAGGUGAAAGCCUGGAGCUCAACUCCAGAACUGCCUUUGAUACUGUAAGUCUUGAGUUCGGGAGAGGUGAGUGGAACUGCGAGUGUAGAGGUGAAAUUCGUAGAUAUUCGCAAGAACACCAGUGGCGAAGGCGGCUCACUGGCCCGAUACUGACGCUGAGGCACGAAAGCGUGGGGAGCAAACAGG
rnacentral:rRNA from 1 species